rnacentral:rRNA from 3 species
GCUAAUACCGCAUACGUCCUACGGGAGAAAGCAGGGGACCUUCGGGCCUUGCGCUAUCAGAUGAGCCUAGGUCGGAUUAGCUAGUUGGUGGGGUAAUGGCUCACCAAGGCGACGAUCCGUAACUGGUCUGAGAGGAUGAUCAGUCACACUGGAACUGAGACACGGUCCAGACUCCUACGGGAGGCAGCAGUGGGGAAUAUUGGACAAUGGGCGAAAGCCUGAUCCAGCCAUGCCGCGUGUGUGAAGAAGGUCUUCGGAUUGUAAAGCACUUUAAGUUG